UACGGACAUACCACCCUGAACUCGCCCAAUCUUGUCUGAUCUCAGAAGCUAAGCCGGGUCGGGUCUGGUUAGUACUUGGAUGGGACAGAUCAGCAUCUUGAACUCUCACGAAA
rnacentral:rRNA from 1 species